rnacentral:lncRNA from 1 species
AUGGGGCCGCCCUCAGGAUUCCUGGAAGUAGAUGGUAGCGGGCUGACUGGGGGAGGAAGCCAGAACAGAAAGAACUAUUGUACCAGCAGCGAGUCCUACUCGAGCCCCAUCUUUCUUCUUUUCCCUCCAGUAUCUUCCAAUUUGACCUCAAAGGCAGUUGAAAACCUGGAAUUAGAUAUUGAGUAUGAAACGGAAAAAUCCCAAGGCAAGCCCUCUAUUUCCAGCCUGAAAAACAGAAAAAACCUGCAGGCCCCACCGGUCAGAGGGAGUGGAGGAAAUGCUUUUCCGUCUUUUGUUGUGUACGGUGGUUCCAGUUUCUGCAUGUCCUCACCAGCGCCUGGCAUUCUGCGGUGGUACCUCAUUGUGGUUUCUCACCUGCAUUCCACACAUGACUCAUGGUGCUGAGGCUCACAUGCUUAUUAGCCGUGUGUAAGUCUUCUUUGGUGAAGGGACUGUCAAAAUCUUUUAUUCAUUUUUUAAAUUAGGCUAUUUGUCUUCGUAACUUUUUCUUUUUUAGGUGGAGUCUUGCUCUGUCACCAGGCUGGAGAGCAGUGGUGUGAUCUCGGCUCACUGCAACCUCCACCUCCCAGAUUCAAGCGAUUAUCCUGCCUCAGCCUCCUGAGUAGCUGAGAUUAUAGGUGCCUGCCACCAGGACUACCUACUUUUUGUAUUUUCAGUAGAGACGGGUUUCACCAUAUUGGCCAGCAUGAUCUCGAUCUCUUGACCUCAUGAUCCACCUGCCUUGUCCUCCCAAAGCGCUGGGAUUACAGGCCUGAGCUACUGAUCCUGGCCUUUGUAACUUUUUAAACAGGCAAAACAAGGCUCAGGAAGCCACCCACAUACAGACCCACAGACAGGUGCACCCAAGGACAUGGAACACACAAAAGGAGGGACACUCACUUGGGCAUGGCAGCCCUCCCAGGGAGAUGCGUGCACAUGCAGACCCAUGCCGGAAGGCAGAGGGGUGUGCACUUCAGGUCAGACACGCCUUCACAUGCACAUGCACACGCACACAGACAUAGUGGAAGAUGGCCAGUCAUGUGACCCGGAGCUGCUCUUGUGCCCCCAACAAUCUGGGCAGAUCUGUAUCAGGGAGGGAUGUGGAAGGUGCAGGACAAAGGCUAAGGUUCCUUGCUCAGUCUGCAGACCGGCAGCCCUGGAGAGCAUUCUGCAUGCCUGCAGUGGGCAGCAGGAAGAAAUAAUAGACGAGAACAGUGAAGAAUGAGCCGCAAAGGCACCAGCUUGGACAAGUCGCUUGAGAGAGCAGCCCAUGGGAAGCCUCCCCCACCAAGUCGCCUGUUCUUGGGGAUGUAACCAACUUGGGGGCAGAUGGAGGGGGCUCCAUGGGAGGGACAGCCCAGGGAGAAGCAGGUUGGGUCCGGCGUCUCGGCCUGAUACCCAUCGGCCCUCCCUGGACUCCGCAGUGCAGACCACCCUCCAGGGGCAUCAGACACAGAGCCACUCACACAGGGGUAUCUCAGACUGACCACAGCAGCUCACACAGCUGGUGUCCUGUUGCUGUGCAGGGCUCUAAAUGGUAGGUCCAGGGACUGGAGAUGAAUCUUAGAGACUUUUUUUUCUCUUUAAUGAGGAAGCUUUAUUUUAUUUUAAUUUUUUUUUUGAGUAGUUUUGAUUUUACAGAAAAGUUGACCAGCAAGUAUUUAAAGUGCCCAAAUAUGCCCAAGCACAAUUUCCUCAGUGGGUCCAUCUUGCAUUAGCAUGGCACAUUUGUUGCAACUGAUGAGUCCAUUGAUACAUUAUUAUUAAUCAAACUGCACAGUUCGCGUUAGGCUCACUCUUGGUGGUGUGCAUCCUGUGGGUUUUGGCCAGUGAUCAUGUCCAGUAUCUGUCAUUAGCGUAUGCUCACUUGUUCAUCCCACCUUUCAUCCCCCUAAAUCCCUGGUCACCACAGAUCGUUUUACUGUCUCCAUAGCUUUGCCGUUUCUAGGAUGUCCUUCAGUUGGAAUCAAGCAGUAGGUAGCCUUUUCAGAUUGACUUUUUCACUUAGUAAUAUGCUUUUAAUAUGUCUUUUCAUGGCUUGAUAGCUCAGUUCUUUUCAUUGCUAAGUAAUAUUCCACUGUAUGGAUGUACCGUAGUUUAUCCGUCUCUGCUUUGUAUAUCUUCUUUGGUGAGGUGUCUGUCUAUAUCUCUUGACGAUUUUUAAUUGGGUUGUUUUGGUUUUUUGUGUUUUAGACACAAAAAAGUCUUUUAUCAAAUGUGUGGCUUGAGAAUCUUUUUCCCCCAGUAUGUGGCUUUUCAUGCCUUAACAGUAUCUCUUACAGCCGAUGUGAGGAAUUUUAAUAAAGCCAAACUUCACAUUUCUUUCUUUCAUGGCUCAUGCUCUGGCAGCCAUAUCUAAAACGUCAUCACCAAACGCUUAGAUUUUCUCCGUUACCCUUAAACGUUUAAUAGUUUUGUGGUUUGCACUUAGGUUUGUGAUCCCGUUUUGACUGAUUUUUUGUGAUAGAUGUCAGUCUGUGUCUAAAUGCAUUUGUGGGCAUGUAUGUCUGGUCAUCACAAAAUCAUUUGUUGAAAAGACUUUCUCCAUCAGGCUGCCCUUGCUCUUCUGUCAAAGGUCAGUCUGUUGGAUUUGUGGAGCCUCCUUCCGGGCUCUUUGAUGGGUUUUCUUGCUCUGUUUCUCUAUUAUCCUGCCAAUGCCACACUGUCCUUUACUGCAGCUUCGUAGCAAGGCUUGAAGUCCUCUAACUUUUCUCCUGAAAGUUAUAUUAGCUAUUCUGAGCCUCGCCGUUCCGUUUAAGUGUCAGGAUGUGAUUGUCAACAUUCACAAAAUAACUUGCUGGGAUUUUGAUUGGGAUCGCACUGAAUCCACAGACCGGCUUGGGAAGAACUGACAACAGUAUUGUGUCUCUCUAUUCAUAAACAUGGAAUAGCUUCCCAUUUACUUACAUGUUUUCUUUGUUUUGUAGCGGGAAAGGCCACAAAACAAACCUCUCAAACACCAAACUGGGAAUGAAGGGGUGAUUUAUUUGGCAGGGAGCAGCAGCAGCAUAGUUGACUAAAGCUGAGUUCCCCAAGGAAGACAAUCCCUGCCCUUUUAAAGGCUUAGAACUCUAGAAAUCACAUGUGAAAGGGGCCUGGGCUUACAGCUCUAGAAAUCACAUGUGAUAGGGGCCUGGCCUUAGAACUCUAGAAAUCACAUGUGAAAGGGGCCUGGCCUUAGAACUCUAGAAAUCACAUGUGAUAGGGGCCUGGCCUUAGAACUCUAGAAAUCACAUGUGAAAGGGGCCUGGGCUUACAGCUCUAGAAAUCACAUGUGAAAGGGGCCUGGGCUUACAGCUCUAGAAAUCACAUGUGAAAGGGGCCUGGCCUUAGAACUCUAGAAAUCACAUGUGAAAGGGGCCUGGCCUUAGAACUCUAGAAAUCACAUGUGAAAGGGGCCUGGCCUUAGAACUCUAGAAAUCACAUGUGAAAGGGGCCUGGCCUUAGAACUCUAGAAAUCACAUGUGAAAGGGGCCUGGCCUUAGAACUCUAGAAAUCACAUGUGAAAGGGGCCUGGGCUUACAGCUCUAGAAAUCACAUGUGAAAGGGGCCUGGGCUUAGAACUCUAGAAAUCACAUGUGAAAGGGACCUGGGCUUACAGCUCUAGAAAUCACAUGUGAAAGGGGCCUGGGCUUAGAACUCUAGAAAUCACAUGUGAAAGGGGCCUGGGCUUAGAACUCUAGAAAUCACAUGUGAAAGGGACCUGGGCUUACAGCUCUAGAAAUCACAUGUGAAAGGGGCCUGGGCUUAGAACUCUAGAAAUCACAUGUGAAAGGGGCCUGGGCUUAGAACUCUAGAAAUCACAUGUGAAAGGGACCUGGGCUUACAGCUCUAGAAAUCACAUGUGAAAGGGGCCUGGGCUUAGAACUCUAGAAAUCACAUGUGAAAGGGGCCUGGGCUUAGAACUCUAGAA